rnacentral:piRNA from 1 species
UGCAACCCCUACAAUUCUUGCUUCUCAU